UGUAAGGCUGAACACCGUUACUGACAAUCCUCAUUUUGGCUGCGUGAGAUUCUCCAGCUUUGUUGUUGUUGAGCUGUUAAAGCUCCGCCCUCUUCUGGAAAGGGGGCCGGGAGCAGCAGCUCAUUUGCAUUUAAAGGGACACACACACAAAAAUGGUGUGUUUUUGCUCACACCCAAAUAGAGGCAAAUUUGACAAGCUAUAAUAAAUGAUCUGUGGGGUAUUUUGAGCUGAAACUUCACAGACACAUUCUGGGGACACCAGAGACUUAUUUUACACAAAAGGAGCAUUAUAGGUCUCCUUUAAUAUUCACACACAUUAGUCCAUAUUGCCAUUUGAUUAAGUCUACAGCCCUACUUUUGAUUUAUUCAUCCAAAUCUGGCCAAAUUCCAUGACAUUCCACAUUAUUCAUUACAUUCCAUUUUUGUGGCUGAAUUCUGUGAUUCUGUCUUAGAGCCCUAGUACUUGUAUAGUUUAUGAUCUACAGUUACACCAAGCUCGAAUGAAUAUAAUUUCGAAUAGCUUCAUCAGUGAGCUUUUCUUAAAUAUAAAUGUUUAGAUAUACAGUAGUAGUGGUGUUGCUGCACUGAGGCUCCUUUAAAUUCUUCCACUAAAAAUAUCAGCUAGACGGACGACUCUGGCCAUUGUGCUGCGUCUCGCCUUGAUAUUUUGAGCAUCCUGUUUUUAAGAUGGCAUGUUCAAGUUAAAAAUAGUCCAACUUUUAAAGAUACAUCUUGAGAGCCCUGCCUGCUGUCCCGUCCUGAGAAACACUGGUGCACAACUGACAUUCAAUUUUGAAUUAAGGAAGUAGAAUUAACAUGAAAUGAAAACAAGUGUCCUUAAUUACUAGAAAUGGAAGAUUCAUCAUGACAAAAUGGUGAAUGACUGACAAAACCUUGUCUGAGCAUUUAAAUAGGUUUAAAGUUUGACGUUUGAAGGUUUUAUAGGUCUUACAGACAGACAGACCCAAAGAUCUGUAUAAAGUAUGUCACAUAUAGACAUUUCUACUUGAUUUCUUUAUAUUUAACAAAUUAUUAGAGUGCAACAGUCGGAUAAAAAAAUAAUUUUCUCCAUAGUGGAAAUGAUUGAUUAAAUGUUUGAUAUGCAUAUUUGCAAUAAAUGUAAAAUUUAUUGUUGCUUUUUAUACACUCAACAUCUAUAAAUCAGUAGUUUUAUAGUUCUCGGUUUUUAAUUUGAUUAUGUCAUCUGCAAUGCUUCAUGGGAUUGUAGUUCUUUCCCUCAUUAAGUAUACAGUCUUGUACUUUUCUCUUUUUGUCUGAUUUUCAAGUAUUUUUUUUGCUCAAAAUCAAGUUGCUGUUCAAUAAUGUGGCUAUAAUACUUUAGCAAAGUUUUUUUUUUUUUAAAUCCCAAUGGGAAAAAUAACUGGGGACGUGCAACAUUGCACUUCAUGUCAGUUUAUUCCACAGCAUGUUAUUCUAAUUCAACUUCCUGUAGGAACUGGUGGAAUUUGUAUCUGCAGAUCUGCAGCCAAAGCAGUGUUUCAACUUCAGCGAGCUUGACGAAACGAGUAAAGACUGGCAUAAACACAUCUGUUUGUACUUACAGAACGAUCUACAGGCUGUAUAACUCAAGUUUCUGAAAGUCCUGGUUCUCGGAGAGCAUGAAGCAAUUUUUACCGACACACACAGACAGAGCGGCGUGAAGCUUUAACAGAAGCCAGACAUGUGGACUCACUAUCAGUCUGGUUUAUGAGGCAGUUUCAUCCUCUCAUCUGGGCUUCAGAGCGGCUCAGGCUUCAUCCCGCUGCCCCUCAGGCUUUUCCUGAAGAUCACAGAGGGGUUUAUGCUCAUUACUGAAGCCUUCCGUCUGCCAUUUUUCCAGGUCACUUCCUAACCUCUUCCUCAGGAGCACCGGGACGCUGCCUGGACAGUUCUGAUACUUUCCUCAUGAUGGCUUAGCAAAAUUGACUAGAACAUUUGCUGUACAUCUGCAGGACGGCACUGGCAGGGUUUAUGUGGGAUUCUGUAGGGAAACUGCUGCAGACAGCUGGGAAAUAUUAUGGGUAAUUUCUGCGCUGGAGGGUUUAACAUGGGCCACAUGAAGAGCCCCUAGCAGAGGAAAGGCCCAGAUAUACAAGCAAAGUCAAAGAACGAACAUUUUGAACAAAAUCAGGCCAAAGCAAAAUGCCUUCGAACUACCAUUGGUCCGUGGUGCUGACAUGUGGGUGUGGCUCCGAGGCUCCGCCUUCUGUGAGGUGUUACUCUUCUCCAGUUCAUUUCUUCUUCUUCAGUCUGUCAAGGUCUAUUGUAUAAAUAAACCUGAAGUGACUGGGCUGACGAAUUGCAGAGCUUGUUCAAACAUAUCCACGUCACUAUGAUCAGAUGUUAUCUUAACUGCUGUUUUCUCGCUGCUGGCAUUUUUGAUGUGUGUUUAUUUUGUUAUUGAGAGUAAAGCCUGAAGCACAUAUUUACAUAUUCAUAUAAACGUCACUCUCGGCAGCGUCGAUGGUGUCAGGUUGUUCACUAACAGUAUAUCCUGCAAAGAAAUUUCCAACUUUUUUUACCCUUAAAGCAAAGAAUGAAAAAUAAUAUCAGGCUCUGAAGAUGUAUUCCCAUCACAAGGUACAGUUCCUCUGAAACUCUGAGCCCUCAAGGCAUUCAGACGAGAAAUCUGUGGCUUCAUCCUGUUGUGCUGAAAAUCUGGGCACCGCUUUUGUGUUGGGGGUCAAAAUGACCACCAUUGGUUUCCUUGCAAUUCACCAAAAAUUAACACUACGAAAACAAUUAAAGAUUCAAGUAGAAACAGAUAACCUUGCUUGUCAGAGACUAAAACAUAUAAAAUAUGUGAGAAAUGUAAUAAUUUCCAUCAAUUUCUAUUGUGUUAGUGGUCAAGCCACAUAUUUUUAUGUUUAAAAUUAGCUGCACAGACAAAACUUUUAUUUUUUGUAGUGACUAUUUGAGGUGCAAAUUACUACAACUAGGCUAACCAUAAAAAGUAUCUAACAUUAUUUGUAGUUGGUGUGAAUAGCCUCUGGCUUUUUGUUAUGUCUGGUUCUCAAACUCUUGUGAGGAUAAAAUGUGUUUCUCACAAUUAUUUUCAGUGCUAUAACAGCCAAAAACAUUCUUUCACAGUUUGAUUGUGAAACUCAACUAGAUGAAGAAACAGUGAAUUCUCCUUGGAUGAUUCAGAAGACAAGCCUUCAAUUUCAAGUAAACUUUGAGUCUUGCGUUUCAUAAUUUCCAAUGUACACUAUAUUGCCAAAAGUUUUGGGACGCCUGCCUUUAUGUGCACAUAAACUUUAAUGACAUCCCAUUAUUAAUUCGUAGGGUUUAAUGUGGAGUUGGCCUACCCUUUGCAGCUAUAACAGCCUCAACUCUUCUGGGAAGGCUUUCCACAAGGUUUAGGAGAAUUUUUUUAUGGGAAUUUUUGACCAUUCUUCUAGAAGAGCAUUUGUGAGGUCAGGCAGCGAUGUUGGCGAGAAGGCCUGGCUCGCAGUCUCCGCUCUAAUUCAUCCCAAAGGUGUUCUAUCGGGUUGAGGUCAGGACUCUGUGCAGGCCAUUAAAGCCCACACACCAAACUCGCCCAUCCAUGUCUUCAUGGACCUUGCUUUGUGCACUGGUGCGCAGUCAUGUUGGAACAGAAAGGGGUCAUCCCCAAACUGUUCCCACAAAGUUGGGAGCAUGAAAUUGUCCAAAAUGUCUUGGUAUGCUGAAGCAUUAAGAGUUCCUUUCACUGGAACUAAGGGGCCAAGCCCAACCCCUGAAAAACAACCCCACACCAUAAUCCCCCCUCCACCAAACUUUACACUUGGCACAAUGCAGACUCAUCCAUCAGGUUGCCAGACAGAGAAGCGUGAUUCGUCACUCCAGAGAACACGUCUCCACUGCUCUAGAGUCCAGUGUUGUCGUGCUUUACACCACUGCAUCCGACACUUUGCAUUGCACUUGGUGAUGUAAGGCUUGGAUGCAGCUGCUCGGCCAUGGAAACCCAUUCCAUGAAGCUCUCUACACACUGUUCUUGAUCUAAUCUGAAGGCCACAUGAAGUUCUUUCACAAAUGUUUGUAGAAGCAGUCUGCAUGCCUAGGUGCUUGAUUUGAUACACCUGUGGCCAUGGAAGUGAUUGGAACGCCUGAAUUCAGUGAUUUGGAGGGGUGUCACAAUACUUUUGGCAAUAUAGUAUAUGCCAUAUUUCAGUGUUUGACAAGCUACAAUAAAGGUUAUCUGUUUUUUUACCUGACACUUUGCAUUGAAUUUUGAGUAAACCUUCUCACUGAAUCUCAUCCAGGCCUCAAACACAUCUGGCUGAACUCAUUUCCUUGCAUCGAGCCCUUAUCAACACCCCGAGCAGCUGCUGUGGGGCUCCAGCAGGCCAUUGGCCAGAUCUACUUUCCCACAGAGCGCAGAAGUUAUAGGGUGAUGUUGCCAUUCUCUAGAGUCGCAGCGAUUGGUGCUCCUACAGGACGUUCCUCACGGUUCCUGUGUUUACCCUACCUGUUUAUCUGCCAGGAACCUUCACCUAAACCAUGUGUCAACACAGAUCAAAUGCUCUGUUGACUAUUAACUCGCAUGUGCAGCAUCGAGCAGAGCUGCACGUGUCGUAUAUCACUAACUCCACCUGCUUAACUGCGAUAGCGCCAAGGCCAGUCCCGUGAAUGACAGGCUGCUGUUUAUGAAGAUGGUGAUAGUGGGUGACGUGCGAAUGUAACGCUGAAGAACUGAAUGCUUUGGGCACGUCCCCGUCGAUGUCUAAUUCAAUAAAACAAAACAUUUCAGAAGACCACCCAUCUAACAGGGAACCUUCUCAGAACUUUAGUUAAUGUUUAUGAAUAAACAUUGCUCCAGUACCGUUACUAGAAAAUUUGUUCAAAGUUAUCUGGUCUAUAAUAAUGUUCUCAAAAUGUCAGCACAAAAACAUUGUGUUCAUGGAACAUUUUUGUUGGAAGUUCAUCCAAUGUUUUUAAAUGUUACUACUUGUUUCAGAACAUUCAAAAGCAAUAUUAGAAUAAUGUUUGCAAAAUGAUAAAAUAAAAUGUUACCCUAAUGUUCGCAUAACCAAGAAACAUUCAGACAACAUUAAGAAAUAACAUUUUGUUUCUUAGAACAAAUAUUUUUGUUCGCUGAGCAAGCAUUGAGUUUACGGCAUAAAAUAAGGCUGAGAGUCAUAAAGACAGACGUCUCUCAAGGUAAUGUCAAUAGAAAGAUGUCCAGUCAGAGUCUUGACAACAAUCCAUCUCAAACAGGAGCACAACACACAAACAGCACAGAGAGCAGAUGUUCCUGACACACAACAGGAGUUACUGAAAGUUCAUCUACUGCAGUUCAAUAAUAAUGAUCAUCUUUGCGAUUAGAUUGUAACACCUAGUUCCCUUAGUAGGAUGUGAAGGUCAAUUCUGGGGAUGACAGCAAAAUAACUCAAGCAGUAAUGGCGAACGAGAUAAUAAACUAGAUAAUGAACUAUCUGUGCAGUUGUUGGAGAUAAUAUUGUUUUCUCAAACAAACCUAAUCCAUCACACACAAUUCACAACAAUAUUUAGGCCUAAAUAUAAGAUUUCACGAGUUCACCCUUACAAAUAAGUCAGAUAGAUAAAUAGUAUGCGUAUUUGGCGUGCUGUCCGAGGAGAGGGCUCCGAGCUCGGUAUUUGGCCCGAACCCAGAGUACUCCCCCCGUAUUCUGGUUUAGGAAGAUAACCGGGCGAGUGUGAGGAGACGGGGUGGUGGAGGGAUGCUGAAAAACUGUCGAGAAACAUGGAUUGUUUGGAGCCGUUGUGUCAGACGACAGAUGUGGAAGCUGACCUCUGACCAACGCUGGCAUGAGUGUGUGGAGCGACGAGGGACAGCUGGACCCGAUGAUGCAAUCUGCACCCGGCAUUACGAAGGAAACCUUUAAUGACACCUUGAGACGGUCCUGUGACGACCCGUAUGACUGACAAAACUCCUGACUGCAGUGUUCAAAUCAACUGCUAAUGUGAAAGAAGAUCACAAUGGCAGGAACCUUUCACAGCUAACUUUACCCUAUUGUUGUGUUAAUGACUUUAACACACUUCAGCUGAGAGCUCUGUGACCACAACAAGCUUCAUUAUAAUCUCAAUGUUCAGUGUUCAUAUGAAGAUAGAGCCAUCAGAGCAUCAUCAGCUCUUCAUAUCCUCAUCUGUUUGGGUUGAGCUGUCGAGAACGUAAUAAGCAUUCAGAUGUAGAUGAGCUUCAUCACUGCAGCACUCAUGCGUCUUAUAAACAGACUUACAUACAGGAUCAUCUGAAAGUCUUUGAAGGCACAUAACUGCUUUAAACACAUGACAACAUCCCUAUAUGUGCAGCUGUAGGGUAUAAUAUGACAUCUGUUAACCAUCACACUGCAGACGCUUUUAAACACUUUCCUUCCAACAACACUGAGUACUGGAAAUAUGUUCGCUUUAGCUCUGAAGAGCGGCAGUAAAUGAGUGAUCAAUAGGGGAAGUAAAUCAUUGACAGAAACACACUGAUGUGACGUGAUUGAGAAAAGUGACACAUCCACCUCAAUGCCUUCUGGCAAGAUCAAUCAAAUUAGCUUUGAUCAAAUAAAUCACAUCAAUUUAGAUCCAGUUUGAUAUGUAAAACUGACUCCUUUCAUUAUAUUCACCUCAAUAACAAUAUCUCAAUACCAGUCACACAGGUUCUCUAAUCGUUCAGCCCAGGACUGGUGUUUUAUAAAUCAUACAACUGCACUCGUCUCAUUGUUGUUAAAGUUUCUCUGGCAGUGGUUUUGAAAUGUUGGUCAAAACUAGUGUUUGAUAAGACUGUCCUCCAAACUAAAUCACUAAUAUCAUCAUAGGUUUCCAGUGUUAAUACAAUAACUGACACACAUUCAUACAAGAAGGCACAUUUUUAAUGAAUAGUUGGACUGCUGUCUCGAGAGAUACUGUCAAGUCAGAUCAAAUUUUCAGAUGUGGUUUUGUUUCUGUUGGCCAAAACAAUGAUUUAACAUAAAUUACCAUUUAUGAGUAUCAUGGGUUGUUUUGUGCUUCAUAAUGCUUUACUGUUUAGACUAUAAUAGAUCUCUAUAUAGGCCUAUUGUUUGACAUGCUGUCACAUUGUGUGUGUUUAAUAAACAGUGUAUUUUUCCA